GAGCACAACGCGGACAUGAGAGCUAGCGCUGGGCAACAAGCUAUCCAGCUAUAAAAACACCAACCUCACUCAAUAAUUCCCGUUUUUGCGGGGAAAAAAAUGGUGAAACAGACGAUACAGAUAUAUGGCCGGAUUAAACCCAUUAAGAAAACUACAACGGUGUACUCUGUGAACAAUGAGGAGCAGACAGGAGCUUUUCUGGAAUUCUUGGUUCCCCGGGACCUCGCUGAUGGCUUUGUCAACAACAAGAGGGAGUGCUACAAGUUCAGGUUCUUAAAGGUGUUUGAUCAAACUGUUGAACAAGAAGAGGUAUUUGAAAACAUUGCCAAACCAGUUGCUGACAGUGUGUUGGAUGGCUACAAUGGCACCAUAUUUGCCUAUGGCCAGACGGGCAGUGGGAAGACUUUCACCAUCACAGGAGGGGCCGAGCGCUACAGUGAUCGUGGAAUUAUCCCCCGCACCCUUUCCUACCUGUACGAACGCUUCAGCCAGGACAGCAGUAUGGUUUAUACCACACACAUCUCCUACUUGGAGAUCUAUAACGAGACGGGAUAUGACCUCCUGGAUUCCCGCCACGAAGCGUCUCGACUGGAGGAUCUACCAAAGGUGCUGAUUAUGGAAGAUCCAGACCAGAACAUCCAUCUGAGGAACCUGUCUCUGCAACAGUCAGCAAAUGAGGAGGAGGCUUUGAAUCUGCUCUUCCUUGGAGACACCAAUCGUAUGAUUGCAGAGACUCCCAUGAACCACGCGUCCACACGCUCUCACUGUAUUUUCACCGUGCACUUGUGCAGACGAGAGCCGGGCUCGGCCACCGUGCGGCGCUCCAAGCUCCACCUGGUGGACCUGGCCGGAUCGGACAGAGUGAGCAAGACAGGCCUGAAUGGGCAGCUGCUCACUGAGGCCAAGUACAUCAACCUCUCCCUACACUACUUGGAGCAGGUGAUCAUUGCUUUGUCAGAGAAGAACCGGUCCCAUAUUCCCUACAGGAACUCCAUGCUGACCUCUGUGUUGAGGGACAGCCUCGGGGGCAACUGCAUGACGACCAUGAUCGCCACCAUGGCAGUGGACAGGAGGAACCUUGAUGAAUCCAUCUCUACUUGUCGCUUUGCCCAGCGUGUGGCUCUCAUUAAGAACGAAGCCACCCUGAAUGAAGAGCUGGAUCCUGCCCUGCUAAUAGCCCGUCUGAAGAGGGAGAUCCAGUCUCUAAAGGAAGAGCUGACCAUGGUGACGGGAGAACAGAGAGACGGGCAGCUGACUGUGGGGGAGAUCCAGAGGUUGGAAGAGUUAGUCAAGGCCUUUCUGGACGACCCUGAUCCAGACUUGAUGCUGUCGUUGGGAUCAGACAUGAGAAAAAUCCAGUUCUGUUUCUCCCUGCUGAAGAUUAUGAUCAUGGACAAGCAAAGAGGAGGAAAUGGGAAUGCUGAUGGGAAAGCAUCAUGGACUGCAGCAGAGAGGGAAGACAGCCAACAGUCAGCAGCAGAAGUCUCCAAACUGAAAGAGAUGAUGACACAACGUGACAAUGAGAUCAGUAUCCUAGUUAAGAUGUUGAAGAAGGAGAAAAAAAGAGCCCAGGAUGCUGCUGCUCAGCUUGCUAACGCCGCCAAUGGCCAAAGAAUGGCCUUCCAGGGUGCCUCGGGGUUAUCAACAAUGCCACUGUUGAGGGAAGGGAGCCCAGACAGCAUCUCAACCGACCAUGGAGAACGAGCCAUAGAGCACAUGAAAAGAGGUCCACAGCUGUCUAUGGGGAAGCAAGAGGCCUUUGAGAUCUUCAUAAGAGACCAUAAGGACCAUCUGACCGUUGAAGACAACAAGAAGCUGCUCAAACAGAGGUCAGCUGCGGCCAGAAGCAUUGGAGAGGAACUGAACGAGGCUAGAAACAGAAUAAAUGAGUUGAAGAAGCAGCUGGAGAUGCAGAGGAGACAGAGGGCAGCUCAUGCUGUAAUGCAGAAUCACCCAGAGGUCGAGGAGGAGUACGACCCCGUGGAGGAAAGCCUGUGCAAACACAUAGAGCAGGAAAAAAAGUUUUACAAGAGCACCAUCGGCCGUCUCAAAGCUCUGAGGACGGAGAUCGAGCACCUGCAGCUGCUGUUGGAGAGGGCAAAGGUCAAGCUCCAGAAAGACUUCCAUCAGUGGUGGAGCAGGGAGGCUUCCAGCGUGCAGUGUGACCCUAUGAGCCUCUGUUCAGCAUCAUGCUGAAUGGGCCCUGGUGGGAAAAUAUGGAGGAGGAAACUCAGUUUUACAGAACUCCAUGUGGCCCGGACUAGAGCCAGGAGAACAGCAACAGCAUCAAUACAGUGUGGGAAGAUAGGGUCUUAACCAGGACAACAUGGUCAUGAGGGUUCUCAACAACACAAGGGGGGAUAAGAAGUGAGUCAAUGUUUAUUUUUAGUCAAUAAAAUGAACCUUCUCUUUGUGCCUGAUUACUUAAAGGGAUGUUUUGAAGUGGGGUUGAAUGAAGUAUGUUAUAGUCAGUGUUUUAGCUACAGUAGAUGGCAGAUGGAACGCUCCCAUUUAGGAGAGGCAGACUGUAGUGAAUCCACUUAGACUAAGCGAUGUACUGCUAUUCUUAAAGAAAGGCCCACAUAAUAAUAUUUAUGAUAUAUUUAGAAUAUUUUUGACCCCUAAAUGGACUCUGGAGGCAUUGAUGAAAGCUUCCGUUCAUCCUAAAUGUCCCAGGGCAAGAUAAUAUUGAAAUAAAUACAUAUAUAUAUUAUAAAUAUAGCAAACAUAUUGAUUCUCUUAAGUAGGCUUUCCUUUCAGGGGGUUAAAAUACAGGUCGCUGCAACCCCCUGUCCACUGAAGCACAUUGCUGGUUUUAAGGGAGCUUGCCUGUAAUUGAAGUAUGGCUAAGUACCUCAUACAACCUCAUUCGAAAACAUUCAAAUUAUCCCUUUAAAAAAACAUGUGUUCAGUAAACAUAAAAUUUGAAUUGAGAUUUGCCAAAAUCACACUCUUUGCCUGGCCUUGAUGGCUGGUUUUCACAUUUUGGAAACCACAGAAGAAGAUGCAAAGCAGCAACAUCUGACCAGCAGACACUGCUGUCUUUUAAACUUUGGUUUCGGUCCCAUGAAGACGGAAUAAAUGUUUCACUCGCAUCCGAGCAAGGUUUGGGAAUUUAUCACUGGAAAGGAAAGGAAGUCUGACAGACAGACCUUAGAUGUGCAGUUUUUAGUCUUCCAAACAGGAAGCUGGCCGUUUUCCGUGCCAGUACUCUUGUAUCUGACAGCUUUGUUCAACCAUUUAUUGUUCUGUUUUCUGGAAAGCGAUACACAUGUUAUUGAUCAGACUGUGAGUAAGAUAUAUGAUGGAGCUAAAGAAGAGAACAUACCUCCCGAGGUCUUCAGCUAGCUGUCAGUAACAUAUGGCCGCAUUGUGUUUGACUGUCAGCGGUAUGGAAUGGUGUUUGCUGAGAAGUCUUCCAGAGUUUCUCAAUGAUUGUUCCUAGGAGUCGGAGGCCACAGCCAGAAGUCACACAGGGUCGCCAAGUGGAACCUCGCAGCCGUCUUCACCCAGCACUCCAGGAUUCCGUGCACCUGUUCUGAGCAGCACAGUCAGGGACUCUCCAUCAGAACCACACCCAGUCCAC